rnacentral:misc_RNA from 1 species
GGAGGGUGUACUGAGGAACGUCGAGGAGAAGAAGUGUGGCUCCAUGCUUCACAAACUCGAGCGCCGUUUCAGGAUCCAUGGUUUUAUUUUUGGCGUUUCUACUUUCUAGUUGAAGAGAAAGGAAAAGAGCGCAGAUAGAAAGAGAGUUCCCUGCUAGGCUAGGUGCUUCCACUAAAAAUCCAGAAACAUCUUACGCGAGACUUCUUCUCG